rnacentral:misc_RNA from 1 species
GUGAAUCAUCGAAUUUUUGAACGCAAAUUGCACUCUCCUCGGAGAGUAUGCCUGUUCGAGGGUCAGCCUAAAAAAAAAAUCGACAUCGUUGCUGUUCCGCGGUGACGUUCGUCGGAAAUUGGUUUAUUUUAAACUUUUUGGUUUAAGGGAUUUAAAUUUUUCUUUUGGUUCCAUGAACGUUUCUAAGAUUUAUUCUUUUACCCGUUUAAGGUAUCGAUUUUUA